UACGGAGGGGGCUAGCGUUGUUCGGAAUUACUGGGCGUAAAGCGCACGUAGGCGGCUUUGCAAGUUAGAGGUGAAAGCCCGGGGCUCAACUCCGGAAUUGCCUUUAAAACUGCAUCGCUAGAAUUGUGGAGAGGUAAGUGGAAUUCCGAGUGUAGAGGUGAAAUUCGUAGAUAUUCGCAAGAACACCAGUGGCGAAGGCGGCUCACUGGCCCGAUACUGACGCUGAGGCACGAAAGCGUGGGGAGCAAACAGGG
rnacentral:rRNA from 1 species